rnacentral:rRNA from 1 species
AGUCGAACGGAAGUUUAAGCAAUUAAACUCUAGUGGCGAACGGGUGAGUAACGCGUAAGCAAUCUGCCCCUAAGACGAGGAUAACAGUUGGAAACGACUGCUAAGACUGGAUAGGAGACAAGAAGGCAUCUUCUUGUUUUUAAAAGACCUAGCAAUAGGUAUGCUUAGGGAGGAGCUUGCGUCACAUUAGUUAGUUGGUGGGGCAAAGGCCUACCAAGACUAUGAUGUGUAGCCGGGCUGAGAGGUUGAACGGCCACAUUGGGACUGAGACACGGCCCAAACUCCUACGGGAGGCAGCAGUAGGAAAUUUUCGGCAAUGGAGGAAACUCUGACCGAGCAACGCCGCGUGAACGAUGAAGUAUUUCGGUACGUAAAGUUCUUUUAUUAGGGAAGAAUAAAUGAUGGAAAAAUCAUUCUGACGGUACCUAAUGAAUAAGCCCCGGCAAACUAUGUGCCAGCAGCCGCGGUAAUACAUAGGGGGCAAGCGUUAUCCGGAAUUAUUGGGCGUAAAGGGUGCGUAGGCGGUUAAAUAAGUUUAUGGUCUAAGUGCAAUGCUCAACAUUGUGAUGCUAUAAAAACUGUUUAGCUAGAGUAAGAUAGAGGCAAGUGGAAUUCCAUGUGUAGUGGUAAAAUGCGUAAAUAUAUGGAGGAACACCAGUAGCGAAGGCGGCUUGCUGGGUCUUUACUGACGCUGAGGCACGAAAGCGUGGGGAGCAAACAGGAUUAGAUACCCUGGUAGUCCACCGCCGUAAACGAUGAGUACUAAACGUUGGGUAAAACCAGUGUUGAAGUUAACACAUUAAGUACUCCGCCUGAGUAGUACGUACGCAAGUAUGAAACUUAAAGGAAUUGACGGGACUCCGCACAAGCGGUGGAUCAUGUUGUUUAAUUCGAAGGUACCCGAAAAACCUCACCAGGUCUUGACAUGCUUCUGCAAAGCUGUAGAAACACAGUGGAGGUUAUCAGUUGCACAGGUGGUGCAUGGGUGUCGUCAGCUCGUGUCGUGAGAUGUUGGGUUAAGUCCCGCAACGAGCGCAACCCUUAUUGUUAGUUACCAGCACGUAAUGGUGGGGACUUUAGCAAGACUGCCAGUGAUAAAUUGGAGGAAGGUGGGGACGACGUCAAAUCAUCAUGCCCCUUAUGACCUGGGCUACAAACGUGAUACAAUGGCUGUUACAAAGGGUAGCUGAAGCGCAAGUUUUUGGCGAAUCUCAAAAAAACAGUCUCAGUUCGGAUUGAAGUCUGCAACUCGACUUCAUGAAGUUGGAAUCGCUAGUAAUCGCGAAUCAGCAUGUCGCGGUGAAUACGUUCUCGGGGUUUGUACACACCGCCCGUCAAACCACGAAAGUUGGUAAUACCCAAAGCCGGUGGCCUAACUUCGCAAGAAGAGGGAACCGUCUAAGGUAGGGUCGAUGAUUGGGGUUAAG